UGGGCAUGUCUUUGACGUACUAUGUACUGAAAGAUGGACUGCUCAGUAAUACUCACUUUAUUUGAUGUACAUUAUACAUAACUACGUUAAAGUGUAGCUAACAUAUGUACAGUAAGAGUGAGACCUAUCAGCUAGUUGUUAAGGUAAUGGCUUAACAAGGCAAUAACGGGUAACGGUAUUACUUUGUAAUAUUCCGGAGAAGGAGCCUGAGAGACGGCUACUAAGUCUAAGGAUUGCAGCAGGGGCGAAACUUGACCUAUGGAUAUUAUCUGAGGCAGUUAUGGGAAGUAACAUAGUUGUUUCACAUUUUAAACGCCCCCAA
rnacentral:rRNA from 1 species